rnacentral:rRNA from 1 species
AGCAGUCGCCACGGUAAUACGUAGGUGGCAAGCGUUGUCCGGAAUUAUUGGGCGUAAAGGGCUCGCAGGCGGUUUCUUAAGUCUGAUGUGAAAGCCCCCGGCUCAACCGGGGAGGGUCACUGGAAACUGGGAAACUUGAGUGCAGAAGAGGAGAGUGGAAUUCCACGUGUAGCGGUGAAAUGCGUAGAGAUGUGGAGGAACACCAGUGGCGAAGGCGACUCUCUGGUCUGUAACUGACGCUGAGGAGCGAAAGCGUGGGGAGCGAACAGGAUUAGAUACCCCCGUAGUCCCUGUCUCUUAUAC